UACGUAGGCAGCGAGCGUUGUUCGGAGUUACUGGGCGUAAAGAGUGCGUAGGCGGUUUUCUAAGUUUGGUGUGAAAUCUCCCGCUUAACUGGGAGGGUGCGCCGAAAACUGGAAGGCUUGAGUAUGGGAGAGGUAAGCGGAAUUCCUGGUGUAGCGGUGAAAUGCGCAGAUAUCAGGAGGAACACCGGUGGCGAAGGCGGCAUCCUGGACCAACACUGACGCUGAUGAGCGAAAGCCCAGGGGGAGCAAAACGGG
rnacentral:rRNA from 1 species